AGCCUUGUGUAUCCGUGCUGAGACUUCGUCACACACCAGAUCACAAGGGCUGAUGAGACUUCCAAGAUAAGUGAGGCG
rnacentral:pre_miRNA from 1 species